GGAAGGUUCAACAAGGAACUGAUAAAUUGCUUAAGGAGUAUGAUGAAUCUAUCGACUUUGGUGAUGGUCAGCUACAUACAGGAUUUCAACAUAAAAGACAUUGUGCUCAAGCGCCCCAAAGAUACCACUCCCUUGGCCUUGCAGCUGAGUCUUACGUGACGAAACAAUAAGAGGAAUAGUAAACAGGAUGACUAUGAUAAAAAAGUUGUGACAAGGAGGAUAAUCACCCAGAUUCAUCGAGCAAUAUGAAGCGGUCGUACUGCAGGAAGGAGAGUCUAAUUAGUACUGCACAAUACGCCAGUGUCCCAAAAACGAAUGUUAUACGACUACCGUCAGAGCUGCGCAAAGUUGUCUAGAAUAACGCGGUUAUCAUUGAGAUGCCGCACAGUGGGACGGAAUCAAAAAAGCCGGACAUUUAAAUUUUUGCGACGAAACUAUUGGUUAUGGCACUUUGAUGUCUUCAGAAAGGUUUCUUUAUUUUUUUAGUAGUUGAAUAUAAUGUUAUAUUAAACUGUGUAUAUACCCACUUAAAUAAAAAUUUCCCAACAUCAUAUUAAACUGCUUAAAAAAUAAAGAAAUCUUUCCGAAGACGUUAAAGUGCCUUAACCAAUAAUUUCGUCCCAAAUAUCAAUGUCCGGCUUUUUUUGAUUCCGUCCCACUGUGUGCCGUAGUGCAAUGAUUGCUGACAGUAAGCCAGACUGUCCAUGGAAAGCCUACGCCUGUUUUGGUCGCUGCAUUGGAUGAUAGGGUCUGCGUUCGAACUGUACUCUAAUGAGGUUUAUGAAAAUAUAAGUUUCCGUCUAGCAAUCCGAAUUACGGAGAACGCUCAAGAGGGAACUAGAAAGCUGCUAAAGAAGUAUUAUGAAUUAAUCAAGUUUGAAUGUGAAUGUCAGUGAUAGGUUGGACUCCAAUGAGGAAGAUAUUGGUGCUGAAGCGCUUCAUGAUUUUACCACCUUUAACAUGUAGCCAACUGAGCUGUAGUAAAAAGCCUCACGAGAGGGAAAAAGAAACUAGUUAUAACAAAAAUUAACUCUUCCAUAUGGACCCAGUAGAUUCGCAAAAA